rnacentral:rRNA from 1 species
UGAGCAAUCUGCCCUUCUCAUCGGUAUAAGCGUUGGAAACGACGUCUAAUGCCGAAUACGACCUCCUUUCGCAUGAUCGGAGGUGGAAAGCUCCGGCGAAGGAGGAUGAGCUCGCGGCCUAUCAGCUAGUUGGUGUUGGUAAUGGCCCACCAAGGCGACGACGGGUAGCCGGCCUGAGAGGGUGACCGGCCACACUGGGACUGAGGCACGGCCCAGACCUCCGUACGGGAGCAG